rnacentral:rRNA from 1 species
AACCGAGGUUAAUACCGGAUACUCCAUAUUUGUCGCAUGGCGAAUAUGGGAAAAGGCUCCGGCGGCAAAGGAUGGGCCCGCGGCCUGUUAGCUAGUUGGUGGGGUAGUGGCCUACCAAGGCAAUGAUGGGUAGCCGGGUUGAGAGACCGACCGGCCAGAUUGGGACUGAGACACGGCCCAGACUCCUACGGGAGGCAGCAGCC